AACGAACGUUAGCGGCGCGCCUAACACAUGCAAGUCGCACGAGAAAGGGCUUCGGCCCCGGUAAAGUGGCGCACGGGUGAGUAACACGUGGGUAAUCUGCCCUCGAGCUGGGGAUAACGGUCCGAAAGGACCGCUAAUACCGAAUAAGACCACGACCUCGAAAGGGGAUGCGGUCAAAGCUGGCCUCUAUUCAUAAGCUAGCACUUGAGGAUGAGCCCGCGGCGCAUCAGCUAGUUGGUGAGGUAAUGGCUCACCAAGGCUAAGACGCGUAGCUGGUCUGAGAGGAUGAUCAGCCACACUGGAACUGAGACACGGUCCAGACGCCUACGGGAGGCAGCAGUGGGGAAUCUUGCGCAAUGGGCGAAAGCCUGACGCAGCGACGCCGCGUGAGUGAUGAAGGCCUUCGGGUUGUAAAGCUCUGUGGGGAGAGACGAAUAAGUGCGGCCUAAUACGUUGCAUGAUGACGGUAUCUCCUUAGCAAGCACCGGCUAACUCUGUGCCAGCAGCCGCCGUAAGAC
rnacentral:rRNA from 1 species